ensembl:snRNA
GUGUUGUAUGAAAGGAGAGAAGGUUAGCACUCUCCUUGACAGGAGCUGGGUACUCCAUCUAGGUUUCU